rnacentral:rRNA from 1 species
GAUGAACGCUGGCGGCGUGCCUAAUACAUGCAAGUCGAGCGAACAGAUAAGGAGCUUGCUCCUUUGACGUUAGCGGCGGACGGGUGAGUAACACGUGGAUAACCUCCCUAUAAGACUGGGAUAACUUCGGGAAACCGGAGCUAAUACCGGAUAACAUAUUGAACCGCAUGGUUCAAUAGUGAACGGCGGCUUUGCUGUCACUUAUAGAUGGAUCCGCGCCGUAUUAGCUAGUUGGUAAGGUAACGGCUUACCAAGGCAACGAUACGUAGCCGACCUGAGAGGGUGAUCGGCCACACUGGAACUGAGACACGGUCCAGACUCCUACGGGAGGCAGCAGUAGGGAAUCUUCCGCAAUGGGCGAAAGCCUGACGGAGCAACGCCGCGUGAGUGAUGAAGGUCUUCGGAUCGUAAAACUCUGUUAUCAGGGAAGAACAGAUGUGUAAGUAACUGUGCACAUCUUGACGGUACCGGAUCAGAAAGCCACGGCUAACUACGUG